UUGUACACACCGCCCGUCACACCAUGGAAGCUGGCAACAUCCGAAGUCGUUACUCCAACCGUUAGCGGAGGAGGGCGCCGAAGGUGGGGCUAGUGACUGGGGUGAAGUCGUAACAAGGUAGCCGUACCGGAAGGUGUGGCUGGAUCACCUCCUUUAAAGGGAGACCUGUUGAAUGGAGAAAAACCCCAAAAGAAUCCAUUUAAACACAAGCAGGUCAGAGUUGGGGGACUAAACUUUCAAACUAUUAGAUGGGGUUCACCUAUCAAAGAAACGGGCUAUUAGCUCAGGUGGUUAGAGCGCACCCCUGAUAAGGGUGAGGUCCCUGGUUCGAGUCCAGGAUGGCCCACCACAUCGAAAGAGACCCAGCAAUUGAGCAACUCAACCUGCUGGAUUCUCGAAUCCAGUCCAGAACCUUGAAAACUGCAUAGAAGAAAAAAGAGCAACUCAAAAUAGAGAAAGCUGGAAUCAAUCGAAAGAGAGAAGAAAGCGAAAAACUAUGAGUAGGGAGCUCACAGACAAUCAAGAGGUCAAGAUAGAAAGAGCUAACGGCGGAUACCUA
rnacentral:misc_RNA from 1 species